AACGAACGCUGGCGGCAGGCCUAAUACAUGCAAGUCGAGCGCCCAGCAAUGGGAGCGGCCCACGGGUGCGUAACGCGUGGGAAUAUGCCUUUAGGUACGGAACAACCAAGGGAAACUUUGGCUAAUACCGUAUAAUAUCUUCGGAUCAAAGAAUUUCGCCUAAAGAUUAGCCCGCGUCUGAUUAGCUAGUUGGUGGGGUAAAGGCCUACCAAGGCGACGAUCAGUAGCUGGUCUGAGAGGAUGAUCAGCCACACUGGAACUGAGACACGGUCCAGACUCCUACGGGAGGCAGCAGUAAGGAAUAUUGGACAAUGGGGGCAACCCUGAUCCAGCCAUGCCGCGUGAGUGACGAAGGCCUUAGGGUUGUAAAGCUCUUUUGGUGGGGAAGAUAAUGACUGUACCCACAGAAUAAGCCCCGGCUAAAUUCGUGCCAGCAGCCGCGGUAA
rnacentral:rRNA from 1 species